rnacentral:sRNA from 1 species
AAGAAAACCGUGUCGAUGGCGGGGAAGCUGAACGUAGGCGUCGUAUAAAAAACUAUUGGGCAUAUUGAAUCGAAAAGUAAUCCAAGCUGAGGCAAUGAAGGUAAUAAGUAUUUCAUAGGCACUACUAUGCAUGCUUGUAUUUAUUUUUUGUUUGGUUUGCUUCAUAAGGUUUCAUUUCUCGAUCGAAUUUUGCAUCUUCAAGUUGAUUUCAACUGUUCAAUCUUCAAUGACGCCACCGGUUCACAUGCAGUCUGAUAUGAGAACCUAUUCCGAAUCAUAUCACUAUUCCAUCGUGUUUUGGGUUACAUAUUACGAACUUCUUGACAAAUUAUUUUGGCAAGAUGGUGAAGGGUUGAUAACAAUUCAUGUAAUUUGAGUUCUUAUCACCUGGGUUUUACACUAACUUGGUUUUUUGCUAGCCAUGUGGGCUACUAAUCUUCAUCAUUCAAGGGGCCCACAUCAAAAUUUAGUUGCCCAAUCUUUUAUUUUAAUAAAAGAAAGAAAAAUAUUUUUAAUCUCAUUUAAUUACAUGUAUAUAUAAAUUCAAAUUCAAUUUCUAUUUUUCUUAGAUUUUCAAACACUUCAUUUUCUAAAAUCUAAUAACUCAGAUCAAACACAUUUCUUGUUGUUCCUUUACAGCUGUUUUAGUUGAUUCAUCUCUUUUCUCUUUUGAGAAGUGGACGGGCAUAGCCUACAUCCACUUCUCUUCGUUAGCCCUCAUAUUUUGAUUCUGGAAAAUGUGUUAAUGUCGGAACCGAAGACGGUCUACGCUUCUCCCCAUGUUUUAACUCCAGUUUCCCUGAGUUUUUGUAACAGACCUAUUAUUUCUACAUUUUAACAUUAUUUCAGCCAUAUAUCACAAAUAAUCAACACUUACCCACUGUCAAAUCAUUUUUGCAAUUUAAAUUAACCCUAAGGCUGCUGCUUUAAUUUUCGCCAAGAUGGCCACCACUGCUGAAUUAAUUAAUUACAAUUCAUGGUAAUUGACCAUCAAGUUUUAAAAUAAUAUAUCUCUGUCAGCAACUAUUUAUUCAACAGUUACCAAACUUAUAUUUAAAUGCAAGAGAAAAUGUUGAAGAUUUCAAUGCAAUGCUCAUUUUCCUCAUUUUACUUGUAUUUAUCAAUCUAGGUACGUUCAAAUGUGAAAAUCAAUUAAAACUAGUAGACUUAUUGUUCACGGAACAAGUAGAGGCCUUUCCACCUUUCACAAAGAUUAAAAAAAAUUCCCAAAAAUGUUAAUAAUUAGAGAAAAAUCAAUAUCCAAGAAUU